GCCCCGAUAGUUCAAUGGAUAGAAUGCAAGUUUGCGGUACUUGUGAUUCAGGUUCGACUCCUGAUUGGGGCA
rnacentral:tRNA from 1 species